rnacentral:rRNA from 1 species
GACGGAGGAUGCAGGCGUUAUCCGGAAUGAUUGGGCGUAAAGCGUCCGCAGGUGGCAGUUCAAGUCUGCUGUCAAAGACCGGGGCUUAACCUCGGAAAGGCAGUGGAAACUGAACAGCUAGAGUAUGGUAGGGGCAGAGGGAAUUCCUGGUGUAGCGGUGAAAUGCGUAGAUAUCAGGAAGAACAUCGGUGGCGAAGGCGCUCUGCUGGACCAUAACUGACACUCAGGGACGAAAGCUAGGGGAGCGAAUGGG